UGCGUAGGCGGUUUUUCAAGCUUGAUGUGAAAGCCCCGGGCUUAACCUGGGAAUGGCAUUGAGGACUGAGAGGCUAGAGUGCGGCAGAGGGAGGUGGAAUUCCACGUGUAGCAGUGAAAUGCGUAGAGAUGUGGAGGAACACCGAUGGCGAAGGCAGCCUCCUGGGCCGACACUGACGCUGAUGCACGAAAGCGUGGGGAGCAAACAGGAUUAGAUACCCUGGUAGUCCACGCCCUAAACGAUGUCAACUGGUUGUUGGGGAAGGCAACUUCCUUAGUAACGAAGCUAACGCGUGAAGUUGACCGCCUGGGGAGUACGGCCGCAAGGUUAAA
rnacentral:rRNA from 1 species